UAACGCGUGGGAAUCUGCCCUGGAGUGGGGGAUAACCCGGGGAAAGCCGGGCUAAUACCGCAUACGUCCUGAGGGAGAAAGAUUUAUCGCUCUAGGAGGGGCCCGCGUCGGAUUAGCUAGUUGGUGAGGUAACGGCUCACCAAGGCGACGAUCCGUAGCUGGUCUGAGAGGAUGAUCAGCCCCACUGGGACUGAGACACGGCCCAGACUCCUACGGGAGGCAGCAGUGGGGAUUUUUGGACAAUGGGGGCAACCCUGAUCCAGCAAUGCCGCGGGAUGAUGAAGGCCUUAGGGUUGU
rnacentral:rRNA from 1 species